ACGGGAGGCAGCAGUGGGGAAUAUUGCACAAUGGGCGCAAGCCUGAUGCAGCAACGCCGCGUGAGCGAUGAAGGUCUUCGGAUCGUAAAGCUCUGUCCUUAGGGACGAAGAAGUGACGGUACCUAAGGAGGAAGCCCCGGCUAACUACGUGCCAGCAGCCGCGGUAAUACGUAGGGGGCGAGCGUUAUCCGGAAUUAUUGGGCGUAAAGAGUACGUAGGUGGUUUUGUAAGCGAAAGGUGAAAGCCCGGGGCUUAACUCCGGCGAGCCUUCCGAACUGCAAGACUUGAGUGCAGGAGGGGAAAGUGGAAUUCCUAGUGUAGCGGUGAAAUGCGUAGAUAUUAGGAGGAACACCAGUGGCGAAGGCGACUUUCUGGACGACAACUGACGCUGAGGCGCGAAAGCGUGGGGAGCAAACAGGAUUAGAUACCCUGGUA
rnacentral:rRNA from 1 species